GGUUUUGGUUCUGGGCAACAAGCGGGACCUACCAGGAGCUCUGGAUGAGAAGGAACUCAUAGAGAGGAUGAACCUGUCGGCCAUCCAGGACAGAGAGAUCUGCUGCUACUCUAUCUCCUGCAAGGAGAAGGACAAUAUCGACAUCACUCUUCAGUGGUUGAUCCAACACUCCAGGACUAAGAGGAGUUCCUGAGAGACAGACACGCCCCCAAACAGAACAGGCCACGCCCACCUGUACUUAUACACACUCGCUCUGAUCAAAACCUUCCCCCGAAUCUUUUACCCUGAUCAUCCUCACCCCCCGUCCCCUGUCCCUCCCCCCAGCUCACCCCUUCCUCCCCCCUCUCUGGGAUGCACUGAUACUCGUGUGUUUUUAUUCUAGUGACGCGUCAAACGGAGGCAGGCGAAGGUGUCAGAAACCAAAGCGGAGUCAUUUUCUACACGAUGAAAUCACGCACAGGGUCGCACAUGUUCUGGAAUAACUCGCCGUACUUUAAAUUUCCAACUCUGACUUGAUGUUUCUCUUUAUAUCUGAAGAGCAGAAGUUCACCCUCUCUGCAGCACACACACAUGCAGCCAUGUUUUAGGGACGGCGUCUUAGUUUGAGUCCUUGCAGUAGUUUGAAGCGUACCAGCACACAUGCACCGAGUCACCUGCAGCUCAUUUCUCCAGGAAACAGAAGCAGGCUUUGGUUCCAGCGUCUUAAAUCCCUGAAUUCAAGCCAAAGAAGUUCACACCACUGAGAACUUGCAUCUUAAAUUGCUCACAAGAUGCUUUUACACCUUUCAUUGAACACAAAUCUCACAACAUAAACACUAUUUAUGGAACUUUCCUCGCUAGAAACCUGACCCUGCGUCUGAUAAGAAGACACUAGAAGGUGCCGUGUCCACUAACGAUUCUGCGUCCUCAACGUCUCCUGAUUCUGUCUCUGUACUUCCUGAUCAGCAACCAAUCAGAAUCAAGAAGGGGCGGGACUUCUGGUAUUAAUUUGAAGGAGAAAAGUUAUCACUCCUUUCUUUUCGAGGUAUGAUAUCUGAGUUUAGAGCUGCUGCUGAUGCCGUGACAUGAUUUCUAUCAAUCAAAACAAGUAUGAAGCAUACAGAGCAUUUUACAUCAGAGCUAACAGGAAGAGGAAGUGCAGCGGGAUCACUUUUGUGACAGUAAACGCUGGUGAGAAGCACUCUGAGUAUUAGGUUGCAGUGUUAGUGAGCACCACACAGUCCUCAUGCUUCCUGGAAAGAUCAGCAGCAGUGAGAAGAGAAGUGUGUGUCCCAAAGAGGAGGCCGGUUAGCUUAGCGCUUUUAUUGAGAAACCAGGGACAGCUCUGGCAUGAAAGCUGGAAUAUAAAUCUCUGCAGACCAUGUCAGCUCUGCCACGUCCCAAACAUAAAUUUGGUCAUAUGUCGACAUUUUUCUACACUUUACUCGAGGAAGACUGAAACAGGACUUCCACCAGAUCCGUGUCCGGUCCGUCUCCGUGCUCUCUCGUCCGUCAACGCCCACCGGUUGUGUUUUCAGAGCGCAGCACGGAGCAGGACCUCCGGACAGCUGGAGUCAUGUGACCGAGAUUUCCCCUCAGUAAUCCCUGAAUCAAGGAUCCUCCUCCUCCUCUCCUCAUCCAUGUUGUCUUUCUGGUCCUCUGAAAACCUCUGACCUGUUGACUCCAGGCCUGGCUCCGCUCAUCAUGACUUUGGUUUGUUGUUGUAGUUAAGUGAAAUACGAUCUGGUGAUAACACAGAGUCUUUUAUUCUGAAAAUUAACCGGAUGUUUUCAUUUGGUUUUGGUGAAACCUGACUUCCUGUCCCGCUCCAUCUGCUCUGUUGAGAUUGAUGCGUCGUGCUCCGGCAUCCGGCACGAAUAGAAGUCUUGUGUAUCUGAUCCGGAGGACUCAGACCUGCUGGAACGCAACGGAGCAGAUCCAGUGGAAGUUAACACAUUGACUAGAAUAGAAACCUACAUCAGAUCUGGUGCCGUGACGGAUCAGAGACGGACCGGACACGGAUCUGGUGGAGUUUGGCCUUAAGAAGCCCUGCAGCCGUCACUGCAUCAGCAGGAUAAAGUGUCUGAUUCUGCUGAGACAAAGACGACAAAGUGAAGCGUUGAUAAUGUUGGAAUCCGGUCUUAGAGCUGACCCCGUCUGCAGCUGCUGUCCUGGUUCUCCUCAUGGAUUCUCUGCAAAAGGGGGGGAUCACUUUCAAGAGUGUCUCUUUGCAUCAUGUCCCUUCUGAAUUUUCCAUCGCUACAUCGGCGCUAGUUAAUCUGAGGUGUGCUAAUAGCUAGCGUAGCUUCAUCUGACUGCAUGAAAACCGUGUGAAAGCAACCAGACGUCCAACAGACUAAAUGUAUUAUACAUUACUAAAAUGUAUAACUCCUGCGUUGUCCAUUACACCGAUGCAACACUACUUCUGCAAUGCCUGUUUCGUGUUACGCUAACACCCGGUGUCCACACGUCUGGAGUUUUGCCUUCGGUGCUGAAACUAAACAACGUAAGAGUUGUGUUUCAGAAAUCAACACCAGCUUCGACGAGCAGCAGGCGACACGACGUGAAGAAGAAGCUGCUUUUCAAAACACUACCACUCGCCUCGCGGUGUGAUAUGCGUUUCCAAGGGUUCGUUAGCUCGUUAGCUCGUUAACUCGUCAGCGUGCUCAGAGAUGAACGUUUGAGUGCAGAAGUUUUGCUUUAAAGAACACAAAUGAAGAAGUGAAUAAGACCAGCAAUCAUACGAGUGAGACUGAACAGAAGAGAGGUAUCAGUGCAUCUCUACAGAUCUGCGGAGACUUCACGCGCUCGCCAACGACACAUCGUUAGCAUCGUUAGCUGGAGCCUAUUUUUAGGAUCUGUAUUCUUCCUGAAGUUCUCCCAUGAUCCUCCUCUCCUCCUCCUCUUCCUCCUCCUCCUCCUCCUCACCUCUUAACUAGUUCCCACAAAUUUGCCUUCAUCAUCUCCUCUCCUUCCUUUCCCUCCCUGGUUGAUUUCUCUUCCUCCUCUCUACCUCCACAUCUGCCAUCCAUCCAUCCAUCCCUCGUUACUUUCACGUUUCUAUAACCCUGAGAAGCUCCUCCUCUUCCUCCUCCUCCUCCUCCUCUUCCCUCGUCUCUUGUGAUCUGCUUGUCCUCCUCUGUGUUCCCUCUCUCCUUCCUUCCUUCCUUUCUUUUCUUAUUUUUGGAUGUAACCUUUUCUCCUCGCCGCCAAGCCCCGCCCCUCGUUGCCUCUCUCUCUCCUGCCGAGCGAGGGAUUAAACCUUUUUAUUGCACUGUUGAUUUUGGUUUUGUAAGAUAUUAAUAAUGAGAAUAAUGUUAAUAAUCUUCUUAUUGUGACAUAACCUGGUCUGUCCAGAUUUAAGGAAGUGGUACUUUAACUGGAGAAGGAGAAGAGUUCUUGUUUCUGUUCAUAUCUCUGUAAUAAGCUUUUUAUUUCUUAAAUGUUUUAUAUUGUUCUUUUUUUAUUGUUGUUUUUUGACUUCAUAAGUCGACUCUGGAUGCGGUUCAGUGUUUUCUGCUCUGAGGCGUCAGCUGAUUGGACCAGGGAUGUCACGUGAUCAGACUCCUACAUGCUAGGUGUUUAUGAUUUUAAAGUUUUCAUUAUUCCAGCAUCUCCAGUUUCAGUUUUUUUAAGAGACACUUUCUUUAUAAUCAUCUCGAUUAUCUCAAAGUCUUAAUUGAAUUUGUCUUUCCAACACCUCAUCCUUCCUCACAAUAUCUGAGCAUAUGUUUUUAAUUAUUACUAAAUGGCAAACUAAAUAUGGAUGUCUAAUGCUGCCAAUGUUGAAAUAAAAUGAUAAAAACAAUCAAAAACACAUUUUAUUAUUCUCUUUUUAUUUUCAUGCCGUGAGUCCGUGGAAGCAAAGGUCUUUAAAAUGCUAAUAUCUCAAAGUGGUUACUUUCUAAUCUUGAAAAAGCUGAAUUAUUAUUUUUAUCAAUAUUAAAUUAUUAUGUUAUUUACAGCAAAAUAUGAGAGAGGAUUAGGGCCACUUAAAAACAUCAUGUAUAUAUUUUUAAAUGUAUUAUAGAUUUUGAAUUUUCAUAUUAUUCACAUUAAUUUAAGAGAGGAUUAUGGCUACUGAAAAAAAUGUGUUUUUUUUUUGAGAAUUUUUACUCUUUUUUUUCUAGGAAUAACCAGAAGAAAUUAGAACCACUGAAAAUAUGUAUUUAAAAUUUUACUUUUUUUUAAUUUACUUUUUUUUUUUUUUUAGGAUUCUGACUUAAUAUGUAAAACAAAAAAAAUCAGAAAUAGGAGGAAAAAAUAGUGGCAUUAUAUUUUGGGAAUAUUUGCUACUGAUUUUUAAAAACAGUAAACAGGUUUCUUCUUUGGAGGAAAACAGAAUAUUUGACAUUUAAAUGGAACAAAUCUUCAUUUAAAUGAAAGCUGCAAGCAACGCAGUCCAGCUCCUCUGUUGCAGUUGUUUGCAUAUGAUGUGCAAUGGAAUACAUUUAAGAGUUUUAUGAUUUAUUUUUUUUUAAAUCAAAACAAUGUUUGCAGAAAAUGUUAAAACUGCAAAUGUAAUAUUUAAACUAUACCACAAAAAGGAGCUCCAUUCAGUAAUCACACUUUAAAGGUCCUCCAAAAAAACAAACAAUAACCACGCUGGGAAAUAAACCAAAUGAUAAAAUGACAGAAAAUAUUUAACACUGAUUUAAAAUUAAUAAAUAAUAAUAUAAUAAUUUAAUUUGGAGAGCACUUUUCAAAAACCAGGUUACAAAGUGCUUUACAUGGGCAGCAAAUUAAAACAGGCAGAUCAUAAAAACACAAAUCAUGAUCAAGAAAUAAAACAGAUUUUAAAAGACAUAAAAUUCCCCUAAAGGAACUGUAAAGGAAUGCAAUUAUUUAGAAAUAUAUUUCUAAAGACGGUUAAAAUAAAAUCAAAUCUGUGAAGGCUCUGCGAUCAAAGUUUGUUUUAAGAAGGGAUUUAAAAGAGUUCACAGACUCAGCAGACCGGAUCUCCUCGGGCAGAUGGAUCCAGAGUGUUGGACCCCUCACUGCGAACCUCCUGUCCCCUUUUAUUUACCUUUUAAAAAUAAAUAAAUAAAUCUCAUUCUUAGUGGAAAUAUCCAGCAAGUAGCUUUUUUAAUUUUUUUGACUUCAGUCAGGACUUCACAUGCAAAAGUCCACUUUAAGUUUCACAAUAUUCAACAUAAUUUUAAGAACAGUAAAAUCACUCACAUUUACCUUUUAGGAAAAAUAAAACAUUUACAGAAAGUGAGAUUUUAAAUCCUUAAUGUGCACACAGAGGGUAAACUUCAGUUUUAUGAGUGGGGAUCAUUCCACAGGAAACAGGAUUCGUCUUCAGAUUGAGUCAAUUUAUUCAAUUUGUUCUCGUCUGUUAAUAAAAAAACAGCUUCACAUGAUGUCUGCAUGUAGCUCAAAUCACCGUUAGCACAAUGCUAACACAACGCUAACACCCUCACAGAUUCUCCCACUUUGCUGAAUCUAUCUCAGAUGUUUUCCCCCUGUCACGUUCUGACACAUCCUGGUCCAGUCAGCAGCCAAUCAGAGCGCAGAUCAAACAGGAAAAGGAAGGAGCGUUACCUGUCUGUAUGUUAUUCUGUACAGAGGUCGUUUUGUUGAAGAGUGGUCAUGAUGUGGGAGAUUAAAUCUGAAGCACACACUCUUACUCUCACUAACUUUCACUGUCGGGCCAAAGGGGGUCGGUCUGGCUUCAGAUUAAGAGUCAAACUGAUCAGUCGCUGCCAAACUCAGAGUCCAAAUCUCAACAGAAGAUCCCUAAGGAAUCCACAUCCCACAUAUGUUCACUUUAGCGUCACAUAAGACCAAGAACCCUGACCCUUCCAGUCCAUUUGGGAAGUACUCAGACUGGGUUUCCAUCCUUCAUGGCACCACUCUGUGUGAGGAGGAAGCUGUAGGAUGCUGUAUGGCACAGAUUACAUGUAAACAAUGCUUACCAUUGUUUUUGUAGCAUGAACCAACCAUUGGUUAUUUCAAAGACGGGUUCAGAAAGUUCCACAUGUUGGUUUUUAACUGCAUCAAACCCAUCCCAUAUUAAGAUCAACGAUCUGAAGCAAGCUGGAUUCAAAUCCCUUUGAAUGGGAGAAGGUCCAAAUGAGUCCCAAGCUUGUGAAGUGGUCUGUUUCCAGCUCGUGGAUGAGUAACCUGACCCCUAAUGGUCCACAGCAACACGAGACUGAAAGAGACCCCCCAAAGAGUUCCAUCUUAGGUCAUCGGCUGAAUUGAAAGUCUAGAUGACGACCCCCUUUUUUAGCCCGACAGUGUGAAGCCGCUCACUCUCAGUAACCGAACCAGAGCUGGUGUUCAGGACUUCAUGUCUGACUCCGCUCUGGUCCACUCAGACUUCAUUGAUAGAUCUGUUGAUCAGCCAGCACAGCGUUUAUAAGUUCUCAGAGCCGUCAGAGGAACCAGACUGCAGAGGGACUCUUUAAAGUCACGUGUACUCUCUCGUGAAACUUCACCUUUAUUUGAUUACAUCCAACAGAGAUCCUGCGGCUAGACCUUAAAGGUGACAUAUCCUGCAACAUGGACUUCUUAAUGGUUCUCUCCCUGAAAUCUGUGUCCCUGUCUACAACCCCCCUGAAAAGUCAAAGACUCCAUUCUGCCCCUGUUCUGAUUUCUCCACCUUUCUGUAAAUGUGUGCUGAAACCAGCCGUUUCAGUUUUCAGUGUUUUUCAUACGUCACAACGCCAUCCGGUCUGUAACAGGAAGUCAGAGCUCGGAGCUUGUUCAGCCCAUAGACUGUAUAAAAUACAACUCAACCCCUCCUCCGUUUUUCAUUCCCUGCACACAUGUGUGCUAACAAGGAGCUUAGGAGGGAGGCAUGCUAGUUGUAGGCUGUCUUAAUAAACACAAAGGUCGGUUUGACUCCCCACGUCUGCAGAUUUGAAGAUCUAGUGGAGGAUUUUUAGUUUUCAUGGAAAAGUGCUAGCGCUAGUUAGCAUAGCCACAUAGCUACAUGUUGGUAGCCGUGUACCAAGACACACGUCGACAUGCUGACAAAUAAAACAACAAGAAACACUAAAUCUGUGACCAAUGGUUCAGAAAGGUCCUGCUGCAGGCACCUCUCCGUCAGGAUCAGAUUCUGGAUCAGAUUCAGAGGGUUGAAGUAACGCGGGUCUGUGAGCAGCCGUGUAUAUUCAGCCAACAUGUAAACAUUAGAUCAACGUGCUGGACGGCCGAGGCCACGCCCACUUCACGAGGGGGCGUGGUCAGAGAGCUCAUUCUCAUUUAAAGACACAGAAAACAGCCUGUUCUGAGCAGGGCUGAAGAAGAGGGGUUUACAGGCAGACCAGAAUCUGAUUUCAAAGUGUUUUUAUGAGCAAUAAACUUUAAAGACAUGUUUGGGGACCUCUUAGACCAAGAUAUGUUGAUGAAAAAAGCGUGAUAUGUUACCUUUAAACUCUGUACGACACCUUCUGAAGACCGCUGUUGGUGUUUCCUGUCUUUGUUGAAACAUUCGUACACGUGAACUUUGAAGUCUCCCUCCCAGCUCCGCUCUGACCGGCUCCGUCUCUUCUGUUUGCAUGCCGAGGGAAAGGAUUGUAUAUGUUUGGGACCUGAUGAAGUAAUCUGUAAUGUUGGUGCCACUUUACCAUUAAAUGGCCUUAAUCCAGAGUAUCAGCCUGAGUAUUAACCCACAGAGGAGCACACGCACUGACAUGUGACGGUGUGUUUACAGUGCUUCUCUGAUUGAGGAUUACACUGGAAUAUGGUCAUGGGAAUGUAAAGUUUGACAUGUUUUUUUAUUUCAAAUCAUCUCGUAACGUCUCGUGAUCCUGCGUGGACAAACCAGGAACUGUACAGGAUGGAAAUGUGGCGUUAGGAUCCUGAACGGUCAAGAGCGAACGAACCCGUGUAGAUCUUUGGUGUUACAGAUUCAACUCGUCAUGAGAUUCCACGCACAUUCUUUUAGUUUCAAGAGCAAACCUGAACUUUUAGAACAGCUUGGAAAGAGCAAGUUCCACAAGUGUUCCUGAGCUUUCUGCGACUUCAUCGAUCCAAACCAAAGCUCCUUUUUAACCCUGACGCUUUCAGUAUCACACGAUCCUCAUCGUGGAUUUGUCCUGAUCAAUCAAAAGUAAUGGACCGUACUUUAAACUCUGGAUCCUUAAAGUCCAGUGUCAGUUUAAUCUGAUGAUGUGGCGUCCCGUAGUCUUGGUGUUGGUUUGUUCACGCAGGAAGUCCACGCUGAGACGACCCGUCACUUUGAACCUGUUUGUACAUUAUUGUUUGAUUCAGUUGAUAUAAUGUGUUUUAAUAGAAACAUGCUUGUGUAUGAUACUAAUUAAAUACUAUGAAGAAACAAA